GACGAGCGCUGGCGGCGUGCCUAAUACAUGCAAGUAGAACGCUGAAGAGAGGAGCUUGCUCUUCUUGGAUGAGUUGCGAACGGGUGAGUAACGCGUAGGUAACCUGCCUGGUAGCGGGGGAUAACUAUUGGAAACGAUAGCUAAUACCGCAUAAAAUGGAUUAUCGCAUGAUAAUCCAUUGAAAGGUGCAAAUGCAUCACUACCAGAUGGACCUGCGUUGUAUUAGCUAGUUGGUGGGGUAACGGCUCACCAAGGCGACGAUACAUAGCCGACCUGAGAGGGUGAUCGGCCAAACUGGGACUGAGACACGGCCCAGACUCCUACGGGAGGCAGCAGUAGGGAAUCUUCGGCAAUAGACGGAAGUCUGACCGAGCAACGCCGCGGGAGUGAAGAAGGGUUUCGGAUCGUAAAGCUCUGUUGUAAGAGAAGAACGAGUGUGAGAGUGGAAAGUUCACACUGUGACGGUAGCUUACCAGAAAGGGACGGCUAACUACGUG
rnacentral:rRNA from 1 species